GCCUUGGUGGCUCAGUGGUUGAGCAUCGUCCUAUGAACCAGGAGGUCAUGGUUCAAUUCCUGAUCAGGGCA
rfam:Myotis brandtii contig205536, whole genome shotgun sequence.